rnacentral:rRNA from 1 species
GUUGAACGCUGGCGGCGUGCCUAAUACAUGCAAGUCGAACGACAACAUGAGGUGCUUGCUCCUCUGACUUUAGCGUCGCACGGGUGUGUAACACAUGGCUAACCUACCUAUAAGACUGGGAUUACUUCGGGAAACCGUAGCCAAUUACGGCUAAUAUCUUGAACCGCAUGGUUCAAUAGUGCAAGACGUCUUUGCUUUCACUUAUCGAUUGUUCGGUGCCGCAUUAGCUAGUUGGUAAGGUAACGGCUUACCAAGGCAACGAUGCGUAGCCGAGCUGAGAGGGUGAUCGGCCACACUGGAACUGAGACACGGCCCAGACUCCUACGGGAGGCAGCAGUAGGGAAUCUUCCGCAAUGGGCGAAAGCCUGACGGAGCAACGCCGCGUGAGUGAUGAAGGUCUUCGGAUCGUAAAACUCUGUUAUUAGGGAAGAACAAAUGUGGAAGUAACUAUGCACGUCUUGACGGUACCGAAUCAGAAAGCCACGGCUAACUACGUG